rnacentral:rRNA from 1 species
CCUACGGGGGGCAGCAGUGGGGAAUAUUGGACAAUGGGGGCAACCCUGAUCCAGCCAUGCCGCGUGUGUGAAGAAGGCCCUCGGGUUGUAAAGCACUUUCAGUGAGGAAGAACGCCUGGUGGUUAAUACCCAUCAGGAAAGACAUCACUCACAGAAGAAGCACCGGCUAACUCCGUGCCAGCAGCCGCGGUAAUACGGAGGGUGCGAGCGUUAAUCGGAAUUACUGGGCGUAAAGCGCGCGUAGGUGGCUUGAUAAGCCGGUUGUGAAAGCCCCGGGCUCAACCUGGGAACGGCAUCCGGAACUGUCAAGCUAGAGUGCAGGAGAGGAAGGUAGAAUUCCCGGUGUAGCGGUGAAAUGCGUAGAGAUCGGGAGGAAUACCAGUGGCGAAGGCGGCCUUCUGGACUGACACUGACACUGAGGUGCGAAAGCGUGGGUAGCAUACAGGAUUAGAUACCCCAGUAGUC